rnacentral:tRNA from 1 species
GUGCUCGUAGCUCAGUUGGUUAGAGCAUUGGAUUUUUAAUCCAAGGGUCAUGGUUUCGAAUACCAUCGGGCACA